GACGAACGCUGGCGGCGUGCCUAAUACAUGCAAGUAGAACGCACAGUUUAUACCGUAGCUUGCUACACCAUAAACUGUGAGUUGCGAACGGGUGAGUAACGCGUAGGUAACCUGCCUGGUAGCGGGGGAUAACUAUUGGAAACGAUAGCUAAUACCGCAUAAUAUUAAUUAUUGCAUGAUAAUUGAUUGAAAGAUGCAAUUGCAUCACUACCAGAUGGACCUGCGUUGUAUUAGCUAGUAGGUGAGGUAACGGCUCACCUAGGCGACGAUACAUACCCGACCUGUGAGGAUGAUCGGCCACACUGGGACUGAGACACGGCCCAGACUUCUACGGGAGGCAGCAGUAGGGAAUCUUCCGCAAUGAACGAAAGUCUGACCGAGCAACGCCGCGUGAGUGAAGAAGGUUUUCGGAUCGUAAAGCUCUGUCGUAAGAGAAGAACGGGUGUGAGAGUGGAAAGUUCACACUGUGACGGUAUCUUACCAGAAAGGGACGGCUAACUACGUG
rnacentral:rRNA from 1 species